CGAUGUAAUUUCGGAUGGUCUGAGCAAAAAUGCAGAGAGCCGCUAUCUGUUUGGUCUUUUCUGUUUAUAUUGAUUAUUCAGUCUGCCAACCGAUCAACCCGCCUCUAUCACGAACGGCGCCAUGACGAGCACGACGUGCGCACCGUUCGGGAGCGAGAAGACCGGGCACGAUCACACGCGCAAGCGCGCUUUUACGCAGGCGUCUAACCCGGCGAUCAGGACAAGCCCCUGACUCAGCCGCUUAUUACAACUAUACUGAAAUGAAACGUAAGCCAACAGAGAACUGAAACUAUAUAACAGUGCACCCCAGAACAAUCCCGCUCCUUCUUCUCCGACGCCUCCUGGGUCUCCCUGACCUAGACAGGAGCGUGAAGAUACCACCGGCAGUUAAGGCGUGCAUCCUCGACGAUGCUGUGGCACGCGACAUCGGCGUGGGGCAACCGCUCAGUAAUGGCAGAAGUUCUCUGCUCCGAAGCCGAGUCGGCGGCGAGAGGUUCCUGUGGGCUUGUUGCAGUGGUAGUAGCAGCACUACUGCUGGUACCUCUGGCAUCAUACUCACAUGGCACAUUGCCACAUGCAUCCUCGAGGUGAGGCAUCCAUACCAGUGUGGCGGCGGCGGCUGCCAAGAACAGCUGAACCGUCACAAGAUCGCUGCCACUCACCUCUCACGCUACUGCGCGUACCUGAUGGCCUGGUAUCCGGACCUGCUCCCUGACCAUGAGGAGUGGAGCACCGCCCUGUAUGAGACGGUGAAGGACGACGCUAGGCGUGCCCUCGCAGGGUGCAGCGCCGGCUGUGCUGCGGUACUGGGACCAGAGGCCGAGUAUGUGAGCAGGCCAGUGAUCCAGUCGCUGAGCGUCUACUCCAGGCACGAGGGGCUCAGGAAAGGCGUCGUGCUUGGAAAGCAGCUGGUGGAGCUGAUGGAAGGCGAGGAAACUGCGUGGAUGGUGCUGGCGGAAUUCUGGUCGGAGAUGAUCCUGUACGUCGCUGCCUCGGACAUUGCAUUGCACGGGGUGGUGAGCUGAUAACGCUGCUCUGGGCGUUGCUCUCCCAUGUUGGGAUCGGGAGUCGGC